rnacentral:rRNA from 1 species
UACGGGGGGAGCAAGCGUUGUUCGGAUUUACUGGGCGUAAAGGGCGCGUAGGCGGCGUGACUAGUCACUUGUGAAAUCUCCGGGCUUAACUCGGAACGGUCAAGUGAUACUGUCGUGCUAGAGUGCAGAAGGGGCAAUCGGAAUUCUUGGUGUAGCGGUGAAAUGCGUAGAUAUCAAGAGGAACACCUGAGGUGAAGACGGGUUGCUGGGCUGACACUGACGCUGAGGCGCGAAAGCCAGGGGAGCAAACGGG